CCGCCCCGCCGCCCCCGCUCGACGCCGGGCCCAGCCUGCAGCCGGCGAGGGAGGACGCGGGGCCGCCAGUCGGGGACCCUUGCUGUUGGAAAACCUGCAUAACUCAAUCAAUCAGUUUUUCUCAAUGACCAGCGCCUACUGUUACAAAAUCAUCCCCAGGAAAAAGGUCCAUUCAAAAUGCAACACAGACCAAUGGAUUCACUGUAACAGCGGAGGACCAACGUCACUGGUACACCUUCAGAUUACACGCUGCAGCUGCCCUUUCUGAAAACAACUAACUAUUCUGAAACCAUGAUUUGUGCCAUCUUCCUCCAGCACCAGAGUGACCAGUCCAGUGGUGAUGACCAGGGCAUCCAGAGUCUAGGUGGGCAACGCAUCAGAGAAAUGGAGUUUAGCCAGAUAUUUUCAUGUGACCAUCCAACGACAUUUAUUAAGUUACAGUUUUCAGAAGUGUUGGCUGAUUCUGAUAAAAUUUUAAUGGUAAAGGUAACCUUGACUUGUGUCUAUGACUCAGUCUUUGCUUGGAAGCAGGGAAGUGAAGAAUG